rnacentral:lncRNA from 1 species
AGCACCAAGUUCAGUUUGACCAUAUGAACAUCCAUGCUCAUAUCAAUCUUAGAUCAAAACAUCCACUUAAGCAUGACUAAUUUCCGAAAGAGACAAAGUCAACAAAUGUUAUAUGCUCCAUCUUGAUAACAACAUCUUCAUAAAUUGAACAUUUUGCUGGAAUAGAAUAUUGAUCACUAAGAUUAAAUUGUACAGGAUACAGGUCAACAUAUCGAGUUUUUCACCAAAAAUACCAUUUAUGAUCGCCAAUCCUUAUCCUGGUACUCUUUUUUGUAUGUUUGAUAAAAUAAAAAAUAAAAAAAUCACUUGCUAUUUUAGUAAAAUCCAAUCACAACUAAAAGUAAUGUAGGUGUAGAGAAACCAGUCCAGCAGAAGCAAAAUGAAGAAAUGCUUGUAGAAGGGCAUGAAUAAUUGAAAUAAAUACUAUACAAAGAUGACUGCAUUGCCAUUAGCUGCAUAAAAGAAUUGAAAAUUCUCACCUUAGAUAAUAUGGAAAAUAUUCAAAUGAAACAUCAAUAUUUUUGGAAUGAACUACUCUCCACGAGAAUAUUUGCCAUGAAUAAUUGAAGUGUACUCUCCCUUGUUCUUUUCAGCACUAUUCCAAACCUGCAUAACAAAAUAAUAGGAUAAUAAAGUGUAGAUGGUCUGAAAGGGGUGUAAAGCCUGGAUAUGAUUACAUGAGACCUAUAAUUGGAUUUAGAACGUGUUGAAGUGGGAAAAUACGUCAGAUACCCAUUGGCAAGUUGUAUCAACUAUUUGCACAUUCCUGUCAUUCAAAACCAACAUUUCAUCCACAGCAGCUCCAAAAGCACGCAAAUCACAACAUAACCCUUAUUUACAGCAUCAAAAUUUUUCUUCCCAUACUCAACGUGAAGAUUUUUAACUUCCAUCUCAUUAAGCCGGUGGUAAGUAGAAAGUCAAAUUAUCUAAUCAGUACAAUAAGUUGAGGUUGUAUCUUCCCACAGAUGAUUAGGUAGUAGCACUUUAAACAUAUAGGUCUCUUAUUCUGCACUUACUUUCUUGUCUAAUGCAAAUUUGAAGAUUACAAAUUACCAGAUAAACCUGUAAACAAUAUGAAAGGGGCAGAAGGUCCUAACUGAACUCUCAAAAAUGUUUCUGAAAACAGUAUCCUCUAUAACCACAUGGCAGAUCCUCAGUCUAAUGUUCGUUGCAGGUUAUUGUACAAAACAAAUGUGUAUAAUUUGACUAAGAGGAGCAAUAAAAACAUGUAAAUAUCACCAUCAUAUUGAUAUUAUACACGUGUAUCUAGGAGCUCCAGCACAAUCCUCCUGAUUGCAUAACUUGUUAGAUCCAAAUAAUGAUGUCUAAACAUAGAAAUAUGCUUACAAUAUGCCAUAGACCUAGAACAGAGAAUUAACAAUAACCAAGAGCUGUGUGUGUAAACUUAAAGGACAACUCAAAAAUAAAGCUUCAACAGAUAAAUAUAAAACCUUGAAGCCAAUAAAAUUAGAAGACAUGUCUAGAUCAAAUCUAAAUGCUCCAAAUAGAAGUGAUUGAACAGUCUAUUAACCAAUAGGAUGAUAAAGGGAACAAAUGAACCAACAUAUUUAAUUCUUCCUGUGACUAUCAUCUUCUUUCCAAUAUUUUUGAAAUUUGAAUGGCAGAUUAAAUAAGAAGACCGCAGUAAUUUCAUUGGUGAUCGAAAUCUUCUCAGUUGGCAAUUACUUUCUUGCUUCAUGAGCAAUCUGGACCGCCCACUCAACCAACCCCCACAUGAGCCAUAUGCUUCUGUAAGCUUUAUUGUUACAUUUCCUCGAGCGUACUUGUACCCAUUGUCCUUCAAUUUUUUUUUAUAAUGUCAUCUGUAAUUUUACUUACUAUCAUCAAAUUCAAAAAACUAAAAGAAACAGUCUCCUACUCAAACAAAUCUAUGUAGAUAUGAAAUAUUAGAGUCAGAAAACAUAUGAAAUUAACUAACCAGAAUGCUCCUGCAUUUCUUUUAACAGUUUCAUCUUUUCAGGCAGAUUAUUCCCCCGUUUGGCCCCCAUUUUUUGAAGUAAAAAUGGGUGGAAUAGUGUUUUUUUUUUUUUUUUUUUUUUGAAAAAUGAGUGAUUGAAAAGAAGUAAAAAUUUUUGAUUUACGUGUAAUAUUAUUUUAUGGAAGAUGUGUGGUUGAAAAUAGGAGAGAUAAAAAUGAAAUGUAAUAAAAUUUAAUGUAAUGGGGGCCAAACGGGGACUAUAUGUUCCGCCAGCCAAGCCUCCAGGUUUCAACUUUUCUUUAAUGGAACCCAUGUAUCUAGGGCUUUUUCUUUUCUUACUUCAACCUUAAAAACACUUGCAAUUUUUCAUCAUAUACAACAUCUAAAAAUUUAAACGUAUAGAUAAGGUAGUCUAACACCAAUAGCAAUCAUCGACAUGAAUCAAAGGUCUAACAAAUGUGAAGCAUACACAACAGAUUUCACAUAUCUACAUUUAUAACCUUUCAACUUAUUAAAAACAGAUAUAAACUCGUACCAAUGAAGUAAAUCCUAGUUUACCAAUUCAAUGUUGGGCAGAACAGUAAAUGCAAUUGAGUGUUCAAGUUCAAGAAGGAACUGCACAGAUAUCGUUAUAGGAAUUUUUUGCUCUGGGAGAAGAAAGGAAAAAGAAACUAUCAUUUUUGCAAGAAAGCUUUUAUUUUAUCAAAUAGCAAAUAGACCACAUCCUAUACAAACAUCAUUUGUUGCUAAUUGAAUCUUUAUUCACUAUAAGAUUCAAUUGGAUCUUUACUCACUAUAAGACUAUACAUAUCGCAAACACGUUCUAAAAUAUUCUAGCUAAAUUUUUAGAGUAGAGUUCGCAUUUUCUUCCGAUUUGAUCACUUAUAUUCUAAAGAAAUGCUAAUGUGAAAAUCUACAUUCUUUAAAAAAAAUUAACUAAUUUAUCCACAUACAGUCCUAUAGUAGCCACUAGCCACCAGUUCCAUCUUCAUCUUCUCGGUUAGUGUUGGGAUUGUUUAAGUGCUGACUUUAGAGCACCAAUCUUAUAUUCCUCAAAACCUUUUGCCUUGAAGCCUCAGCCAAACAUCCCAUAUUUUCAAUUAUCCCAUAAUUGCGCAAGAUUUAUAGAAAUCCAUUCUCAAAAAACAAGGAAAAGGAGUUUAGGGAAAAAAUGAAAAAUGAAAAUUCUAGCAGCUUUCAAAGAUGGAGAUAAAGUUAGUUUAUGAUGGUGAAAACAAAGAGCACGCACGCUGAAGCACCAAUUUGCUGGUUUGAAAGGAGAACCCCUAAUCGAGCACUCAUUUAUUAUGUCAUAUAAUAAAUCAAUUUAACCAGUUUUGAGAAACUUCAUAACAGUUGGCUUCUCAUUUUUAAGGAUCAGACGACUGUCAUUAUCUAUUUACAGCCAUUGCUGAAUAUUCAUCUCAAGUUAACAUUAAAACAAUUCAGUAGAACCUUCCUUAAAAGAACUCAACUAUACUGCAGAACGCUCAUCACGACAAUCUGCAGGUUUAGAUUAGUUUAAGACUUGCUAUGAAGUCAUCCCAGCAUCGUUAUAUAAUAUUUUCCAUAACAAGAAUAAAAGUUGUAUAAAUCAUAGCAAACGAUUCUAUUUUUACUAACCAAACAGGCUGUGAAACAAAUUACUAGCUGCCAAGGAAAUGAAAAAUAGACAACCUUCUUGCAUACAUAGGACACUCCAAUCCAGAAAUAAUUAAAGGAUUUAUAGUCAUAUGAUUAUUUUCAUUUUCAAAACAAAUUGCAUCAAAUUCUUCUCAUUUUCAAAACAAUUAAUCUCAUGCAACAGUGCUUAAAAGAGGACAUUGCCAGUCACCUUGCCCUUCUUUCUCCAGACCAAUUGAAUAUGAUCUGUACUCAAAAUCAAAUGAAAGCACAAGAAAUUAUUAUAGUUCAGAAAACUAGCAAUUGCUCCAGCAUUUUCAAAAUGCAAACUCAGUGUUUUAAUCCAUCAUUCCACCUCAUCUACAGCCAGUCAACUUUAUUAUUAUAAACAGGACAAUUACCGGCAAACCACGAGCAUUCACCCGUACACAAUAAACAGUCCAGAUAUAGUCCUAAACGACAUUUCACUUAUAAUCUGAUUUAAUCCCUAACCACAAAAAUUGAAUAACGAUGGAUUCUAAUUUCUAAUCAUCCCUAAUCAGUAUGACCGAAUUAACCUAAUUAAUAUUUACAACGCAUACCUACAUUAAUUGAAAAAUAAUAAUUUUAAAAUCUAACAAAUCAAAUAUUUAACAAACCUUAUGGAACAAAAUCUUAUCAUCAGAACUGAAAUCCAUAGUAAGUCAAACAUCAAAUUGAGGGUUUGGGAGAAUAGAUAAAGAAUGGACCUUUUUGGAAUGGUGCAGGCACUAAAAAGUCUUCACGGAGCAGACACACAGUCAUUGGGCUCCCGGCAACGGGACAUGCACUCACUGAAAUCCAUCAAGAAAUCGCAGCACAUCCCUGUCUUCCCCAUUUUGCCCCAUCCCGAUGUCAUUUUACGUCGGAGAUCUCUCGACAUUGAAUUUUUAGACAUUACAACAAAAGUUAGGCGAAGAGGAGAAGGAAGAAUACCAAAAGUUAAG